AUACGUGGGGUGCGAGCGUUGUCCGGAAUUACUGGGCGUAAAGAGCUCGUAGGUGGUUUGUCGCGUCGUCUGUGAAAUUCCGGGGCUUAACUCCGGGCGUGCAGGCGAUACGGGCAUAACUUGAGUACUGUAGGGGAGACUGGAAUUCCUGGUGUAGCGGUGAAAUGCGCAGAUAUCAGGAGGAACACCGGUGGCGAAGGCGGGUCUCUGGGCAGUACCUGACGCUGAGGAGCGAAAGCAUGGGUAGCGAACAGGAUUAGAUACCCUGGUAGUCCAUGCCGUAAACGGUGGGCGCUAGGUGUAGGGGUCUUCCACGACUUCUGUGCCGUAGCUAACGCAUUAAGCGCCCCGCCUGGGGAGUACGGCCGCAAGGCUAAAACUCAAAGGAAUUGACGGGG
rnacentral:rRNA from 1 species